rnacentral:rRNA from 1 species
GCCAGCAGCCGCGGUAACACCGGCGGCCCGAGUGGUGAUCGUGAUUAUUGGGUCUAAAGGGUCCGUAGCCGGUUUGGUCAGUCCUCCGGGAAAUCUGAUAGCUCAACUAUUAGGCUUUCGGGGGAUACUGCCAGACUUGGAACCGGGAGAGGUAAGAGGUACUACAGGGGUAGGAGUGAAAUCUUGUAAUCCCUGUGGGACCACCUGUGGCGAAGGCGUCUUACCAGAACGGGUUCGACGGUGAGGGACGAAAGCUGGGGGGCACGAACCGGAUUAGAUACCCGGGUAGUCCCAGCCGUAAACGAUGCUCGCUAGGUGUCAGGCAUGGCGCGACCGUGUCUGGUGCCGCAGGGAAGCCGUGAAGCGAGCCACCUGGGAAGUACGGCCGCAAGGCUGAAACUUAAAGGAAUUGGCGGGGGAGCACAACAACGGGUGGAGCCCUGCGGUUUAAUUGGACUCAACGCCGGACAACUCACCGGGGGCGACAGCAAUAUGUAGGCCAAGCUGAAGACUUUGCCUGAAUCGCUGAGAGGAGGAGAGGUGCAUGG